rnacentral:rRNA from 1 species
UACGAGGGGGGCGAGCGUUGUUCGGAAUUAUUGGGCGUAAAGGGUGCGUAGGCGGCCUGACAAGUCUGAUGUGAAAUCCCUGGGCUCAACCCAGGGCCUGCAUCGGAAACUGUCGGGCUUGAGUAUGGGAGAGGUGAGUGGAAUUUCCGGUGUAGCGGUGAAAUGCGUAGAUAUCGGAAGGAACACCUGUGGCGAAAGCGGACUCACUGGACCAUUACUGACGCUGAGGCACGAAAGCUAGGGGAGCAA